ensembl:lncRNA
AAUCCAAUUGGUGAAGUGGAUGCUUUUCAAAUGGCCUCUGAAUGAAAGCAUAAACUCUGCCAGAUUUAUGAAGCUCACCAUGGUAAGAGGUGAUUCCAUCUCACAGUACAAGGUCUGUCACCACAAUUAUGGAUGAGCAGGACCACUAUCCUCUUAUCCCAUCACAAAAGACCACUCUGCAAAGAGCCUUAGUUUUCUUCUCCAAUUUGUUCACUGCAUUUCUGAAUGAAAGGCCCUUUCCCUGGAGGCAGCUAUUUAUUUCACAGAUGAGAUAAUUCCUCGAUCAGAGAAUCUCACAGGACAUAAGUCAGAUACAUAACUUGGUUGAAUACUAGAAGCCAGACUUCCUUGGUGUGAUGCGUGUGUAGAUUUGCUUCUACAAUUUCCACUUUAAAAUGGAGAAUGAGGAUGCAGAAGAUAGCUGUUCUAUUGCAUCACUGUGUGUGAGCUGCAUAUCAGCAGUGUUUGAUGUGAAUGACCUGGAAGACCCACUGUCCUUCAACACUGGAGCAAAAUCACUAAGUCCAGGAUUUUCCUGCAACUGCACCAAGACCUUUGCCACCUCUUCAGCCCUCAGGGCAAUAGCUUGCAUGCCAGAAAACACAUCUGAGUCUCAUUCAUGCUUUAUCAGUAUCUGUUACUUCCAACACAAUUUGCUGACCAUCAGUGACUGUGACUUGUAUACAACCACUUUCUGAAAAAAAUCUAUUGAUCCUUAU